rnacentral:rRNA from 1 species
UAGGGAAUAUUGCAAAAUGGGCGCAAGCCCGAUGCAGCAACGCCGCGUGGGCGAUGAAGGCCUUCGGGUCGUAAAGCCCUUUUUGAGGGGAUGAGGAAGGACAGUACCCUCAGAAUAAGCCUCGGCUAACUACGUGCCAGCAGCCGCGGUAAAACGUAGGAGGCGAGCGUUAUCCGGAUUUACUGGGCGUAAAGCGCGUGCAGGCGGAUUGGAGAGUUGGAUGUGAAAGCUCCCGGCUUAACUGGGAGAGGUCGUUCAAUACUUCCAGUCUUGAGUGCAGUAGAGGGAAGUGGAAUUCCGGGUGUAGUGGUGAAAUGCGUAGAUAUCCGGAGGAACACCAGUGGCGAAAGCGGCUUCCUGGACUGUAACUGACGCUCAGACGCGAAAGCUAGGGUAGCAAACGG